rnacentral:rRNA from 1 species
UAGCGCGGUGGUCCCACCUGACCCCAUGCCGAACUCAGAAGUGAAACGCCGUAGCGCCGAUGGUAGUGUGGGGUCUCCCCAUGCGAGAGUAGG